GAACGCUGGCGGCGUGCCUAAUACAUGCAAGUCGAGCGAACAGACGAGGAGCUUGCUCCUCUGACGUUCGCGGCGGACGGGUGAGUAACACGUGGAUAACCUACCUAUAAGACUGGGAUAACUUCGGGAAACCGGAGCUAAUACCGGAUAAUAUAUUGAACCGCAUGGUUCAAUAGUGAAAGACGGUUUUGCUGUCACUUAUAGAUGGAUCCGCGCCGCAUUAGCUAGUUGGUAAGGUAACGGCUUACCAAGGCAACGAUGCGUAGCCGACCUGAGAGGGUGAUCGGCCACACUGGAACUGAGACACGGUCCAGACUCCUACGGGAGGCAGCAGUAGGGAAUCUUCCGCAAAGGGCGAAAGCCUGACGGAGCAACGCCGCGUGAGUGAUGAAGGUCUUCGGAUCGUAAAACUCUGUUAUUAGGGAAGAACAAAUGUGUAAGUAACUAUGCACGUCUUGACGGUACCUAAUCAGAAAGCCACGGCUAACUACGUG
rnacentral:rRNA from 1 species